rnacentral:rRNA from 1 species
UGAGGAAUAUUGGUCAAUGGACGAGAGUCUGAACCAGCCAAGUAGCGUGAAGGAUGACUGCCCUAUGGGUUGUAAACUUCUUUUAUACGGGAAUAAAGUGAGGCACGUGUGCCUUUUUGUAUGUACCGUAUGAAUAAGGAUCGGCUAACUCCGUGCCAGCAGCCGCGGUAAUACGGAGGAUCCGAGCGUUAUCCGGAUUUAUUGGGUUUAAAGGGAGCGUAGGCGGACGCUUAAGUCAGUUGUGAAAGUUUGCGGCUCAACCGUAAAAUUGCAGUUGAUACUGGGUGUCUUGAGUACAGUAGAGGCAGGCGGAAUUCGUGGUGUAGCGGUGAAAUGCUUAGAUAUCACGAAGAACUCCGAUUGCGAAGGCAGCUUGCUGGACUGUAACUGACGCUGAUGCUCGAAAGUGUGGGUAUCAAACAGGAUUAGAUACCCUGGUAGUCCACACAGUAAACGAUGAAUACUCGCUGUUUGCGAUAUACAGUAAGCGGCCAAGCGAAAGCGUUAAGUAUUCCACCUGGGGAGUACGCCGGCAACGGUGAAACUCAAAGGAAUUGACGGGGGCCCGCACAAGCGGAGGAACAUGUGGUUUAAUUCGAUGAUACGCGAGGAACCUUACCCGGGCUUGAAUUGCAGACGAAUUGCUUGGAAACAGGCAAGCCGCAAGGCGUCUGUGAAGGUGCUGCAUGGUUGUCGUCAGCUCGUGCCGUGAGGUGUCGGCUUAAGUGCCAUAACGAGCGCAACCCUCGUGUCCAGUUACUAGCAGGUUAUGCUGAGGACUCUGGACAGACUGCCAUCGUAAGAUGUGAGGAAGGUGGGGAUGACGUCAAAUCAGCACGGCCCUUACGUCCGGGGCUACACACGUGUUACAAUGGGGGGUACAGCAGGCAGCUACCGGGCGACCGGAUGCCAAUCCCGAAAGCCUCUCUCAGUUCGGACUGGAGUCUGCAACCCGACUCCACGAAGCUGGAUUCGCUAGUAAUCGCGCAUCAGCCACGGCGCGGUGAAUACGUUCCC